rnacentral:rRNA from 1 species
CAGCCGCCGCGGUAAUACGAAGGGUGCAAGCGUUAAUCGGAAUUACUGGGCGUAAAGCGUACGCAGGCGGUUUGUUAAGUCAGACGUGAAAUCCCCGAGCUUAACUCGGGAACUGCAUUUGAAACUGGCAGGCUAGAGUCUCGUAGAGGGGGGUAGAAUUCCAGGUGUAGCGGUGAAAUGCGUAGAGAUCUGGAGGAAUACCGGUGGCGAAGGCGGCCCCCUGGACGAAGACUGACGCUCAGGUACGAAAGCGUGGGGAGCAAACAGGAUUAGAUACCCGAGUAGUCCCUGUCUCUUAUAC